GGACUACCGGGGUAUCUAAUCCCGUUUGCUCCCCUGGCUUUCGCGCCUCAGCGUCAGGUGAGGUCCAGCACGCCGCUUUCGCCACCGGCGUUCCUUCCGAUAUCUACGCAUUUCACCGCUCCACCGGAAGUUCCGCAUGCCCCUACCUCCCUCGAGCCCCCCAGUAUCAGGGGCACUUGUCCGGUUGGGCCGAACGAUUUCACCCCUGACUUGGGAAGCCGCCUACGCGCCCUUUAAGCCCAGUGAAUCCGAACAACGUUCGCACGGUUCGUCUUACCGCGGCGGCUGGCAC
rnacentral:rRNA from 1 species